AUUGAACGCUGGCGGCAGGCUUAACACAUGCAAGUCGAGCGGUAGCACAGGGGAGCUUGCUCCCUGGGUGACGAGCGGCGGACGGGUGAGUAAUGUCUGGGAGACUGCCUGAUGGAGGGGGAUAACUACUGGAAACGGUAGCUAAUACCGCAUAACGUCGCAAGACCAAAGAGGGGGACCUUCGGGCCUCUUGCCAUCAGAUGUGCCCAGAUGGGAUUAGCUAGUAGGUGGGGUAAUGGCUCACCUAGGCGACGAUCCCUAGCUGGUCUGAGAGGAUGACCAGCCACACUGGAACUGAGACACGGUCCAGACUCCUACGGGAGGCAGCAGUGGGGAAUAUUGCACAAUGGGCGCAAGCCUGAUGCAGCCAUGCCGCGUGUGUGAAGAAGGCCUUCGGGUUGUAAAGCACUUUCAGCGAGGAGGAAGGUGGUGAGCUUAAUACGUUCAUCAAUUGACGUUACUCGCAGAAGAAGCACCGGCUAACUCCGUG
rnacentral:rRNA from 1 species